CUACGGGGCGCAGCAGGCGCGAAACCUUUACCAUGCGGGCAACCGUGAUAAGGAAACCCCGAGUGGAUGAACAGUCAUCCUGUCCAUCAGUUUAGCUCCCUGGUGAAGAAAGGGCCGGGCAAGACCGGUGCCAGCCGCCGCGGUAAUACCGGCGGCUCGAGUGGUGGCCACUAUUACUGGGCUUAAAGGGUCCGUAGCUUGCAUGAUCAGCCUCUUGAGAAAUCCACUGGCUUAACCAAUGGUCGUUCAGGAGGAACUGUCAUGCUAGGGACCGGGAGAGGUAAGGGGUACUGCCGGGGUAGGAGUGAAAUCCUGUAAUCCCGGUGGGACCACCGGUGGCGAAGGCGCCUUACCAGAACGGCUCCGACAGUGAGGGACGAAAGCUGGGGGAGCGAACCGGAUUAGAUACCCGGGUAGUCCCAGCCGUAAACGAUGCGCGUUAGGUGUGUCCGUGACCACGUGUCACUGAGGUGCCGAAGGGAAACCGUGAAACGCGCCGCCUGGGAAGUACGGUCGCAAGGCUGAAACUUAAAGGAAUUGGCGGGGGAGCACCACAACAGGUGGAGCCUGCGGUUUAAUCGGACUCAACGCCGGGAACCUCACCAGAUAAGACAGCAGUAUGAAAGUCGGGAUGAAGACUCUACUAGACUCGCUGAGAGGAGGUGCAUGGCCGUCGUCAGUUCGUACUGUGAAGCAUCCUGUUUAGUCAGGCAACGAGCGAGACCCACGCCAACAUUUGCCAGCUUUUCCUUCGGGAAGAUGGGGACACUGUUGGGACCGCCUCUGCUAAAGAGGAGGAAGGAUUGGGCAACGGUAGGUCAGCAUGCCCCGAAUUAUCUGGGCCACACGCGGGCUACAAUGGGCAGGACAAUGGGUGUCCACCACCGAAAGGUGUCGGUAAUCUCCUAACCCUGUCCGAAGUUCGGAUUGCGGAUUGUAACUCAUCCGCAUGAAGCUGGAAUCUGUAGUAAUCGCGUUUCAUCAUAGCGCGGUGAAUAUGUCCCUGCUCCUU
rnacentral:rRNA from 1 species